AGCUGGCUUCCUAUCCUUCUGGUCUGUGUGAAUACUGAAACAUGUUCACAGAGGAGUCUCAUUCAGAGAGAGUGUGGAGUCAAUUGAGGGGACAAUGUGUCAUGAAGCCAUUAGAAGACUGUUGCUGACUGAGAGGAGUUUGGCAGUAACCCAGAACUAACAGAGGCAGAGGAUCUCUCUUUUGGCUGCUGCUGACAACAACUGCAUUCAGGCAACAACCCAUACUGUACUGACGGUAGAUAGCCCAGAGGCUAAGGAGUGGGACCAGUGGCAGGAGUUUUACCUGUGGACGAAAUGUUGCCAGUUGGAAAAAAAAUGGACAAAAUGUAUCUGAUAACUAUAGGGCUGAUGGUUUCACAUCCUCAAAAACAUUCCCCCGACCGUUGGACCCUUGAGCAAGGCCCUUAACCCCACAACAUGCUCUCCAUCCAGGUGCGCUGGGGGGGGAAACUGAGCAGAGAUACAUUUUUGUUGUUCACUGUAACUAAUGAACAAAGUUGUAUUGUAUUGUGAAGAAGUUAGCAAGGGUUGACCAUCAUUCAAACGAAGAGAUGCCUCCCUGGCCAGCAGUGCACAUUUCCAA